UGUGGAGGGGACCGUAGAACUACGUGAAGUGUCCCACUAAAUUCUGGGAAGUGUUAGACGUGUGGCUGUCAUAUCUAAUAAAAUUAAGGAUAUGCAAAGGCUGUGUUGGGACCUGAAGGCAAAAGCCAUGGCACACUAAUGAAUAGACCAUACUAGAGAUAACAAGGAGAGCUGCUGACUGCGAUGGCAGUGAAGGCAAAAGAGAGCUUUUUUUUCCUGCCUACUCCAAAAUACUCCAGAAUAUGCUCCAGAAUGCUAUAGGCCUCGAAUGGAGAGGGCUGUGAUUAGCUUGGCUUGGUGGGCUCAGCUGUGGCCUGUGGUGGAUCUGCUGUGGAACAGGCCUGACCCAGCCAUGUCUGGCACAGGCCAGGCCCUCAUCUCGCAGAAGCCGCGCUUGCAGCCCUCCUUGUACCAAAACCUUGUUGCCUACACCCAAUACAUUAACAAAGGGCCCACAUCAGUUGCCUGAGCAGCUGUGUCAUCUGACAUGCCUUAAGGUACCCUCUAUGUCCAUAUAGAGGCACAACAUACGGCACAGGUGAGGGUCAGGGCACUUGAUUCCCAUGUGUAGACAACAGAAUUACACUCUUGAAGUCCUUGAACAGAUCAUUUAAAUAUCCUUUUACUAAUUUUCAGGAAUCAUGUGUUCCAACAUUUAAUUCUGAAUGUUUAUGCAUUUUUGAUAUUUCUAGCCUAGAAAGAUUCAAAGUAAUGCAAGUUUUUCACACUGUAUAUGACUUUGGCUAAAGAAAACAGAAUAUGCUAUACCUAUUCUGAAAAGCAAAGUAUUGAGCUGAAAAUAGGUUACCAGUGGAGUUUCUCAAAGAUUGGCUCAGAGUUGAUGUCAUUUAAUAUAUUCAUUUAUGACCCUGGCACAAGAAGCAAAAAUGUUUUAAUUAAAUUUGCAGAUGGCAUAAAGGUGAGAGGAAAUAUAAAUACAAAGCAGCACUUGAAUAUUGUGUAGAGUUAAGAGACCUUGUGGACCAGGGUAACAGAACUGUAAUAACAUUUAAUAGUACAAAAUAAAAGGUCACAGAAUUUGGCCUUUUCAUCUUACUCAUAAUUACCUGUCUAAAACUUAGAGGCCUAUUUUAAGUUAUUCACCUGGGCUCCUUUAAAUAAUCAUAGAGAAAUGCCUCUGCAAGGAUGCUUCUAUGCUAAAGUAGUUGUUUAAGACAGGAAGGUUGUACUGGCUUUUAGAGAUGCCUUUCUCACUACAUUGCUUUUGGAGGAAAACUAGAUGUCUGCUUAGCCUAGAUCCCCAUGAAUCCUAGCUUCAGACUUAAUGUGAAUGCUUGCUAAAUGCUUUUUCUCCUUCAGCUGGAAAGAGAAAAACCCAUUAACAAACAGCUUCAGGGAAUGCAAAUAUGGUCCUUUGAUACAUCAAGCUUAAUAUUUCUGUGAAACAAAAGGAAAUAAUGAAAAUCCCUGAAAAAAAUUCCUUGUGGAAUAUCUUCUAGGACUUUCACCAUUAAAGUUCAAUAAACAAAAACUAAUUGUUAAGAUACAAAUACUAAUGAGAGAAAAUAAUUUUACAAGAUGAACUUACAUAAAUAUUUUUGAUAUAGAAGAUUGGAGAUGAGAGACACAUGAACAUUUUCUGACCUGAACAAAUGUAUGCACCAAACAUGCCUGUUCUGUGUGAAAUAAUACCAAUAACAAGUCAGGUUGAAAACCAUAGAAGCUAUAUUAGUGCUAGACUGUGCCUCACACAAAACAUGCCACCAGUUGAGAUGACUGCCUUGUUUCUGAGAUAGUCAUGGCUGUAGCCACUGGCAGCAAUUUUCCCCAUCUAAUGGACUACAUUUCUAAACCAGAACGUGCUGGGUUAGAUGAGCCUUGUGGAAAGAUGGUUGACCUUGUAAGUGAUUUAAAAAGUUAUGAGACAUUUUUUUAUCAAAAAUAUGCAAAGAUUUUUUUCCAAAAUAUUCCUUCAUUGUCAUGCCCACUAUUUGUGUAUGUAUUCCAGCAUCUGCAAUAGACUAAAGGUGCCAAUACAACUAUCAGUCCUUGAGUACUUCUGCUUAAGCUGAUCCAGCACCACAACAUGAAGUCCUCUGGAAUGCUGUACUAGUAUGGAUGUGGGCACAAGUCACUGCUUUUCAAGCAGUUAAAUGGCUUGGGUAGCUUAUCUUUUGUAGGUGUUUAAAACAUUAGAAUUUCCAGUUUUGAAAAUCCCCAUUUUCCUUCAAAAAAUGUUAUGUUUGCAGAAUUUUCUAGUUAUUGCAAAACCUUUCAGAUUAUUUGUGCCUCUCUAAUUCACUAGAACUUUCCAUCUUAUGAUUUCAUUACAGCUUUAAAAAUAAAGUAAGUGUUACUUUUAGUAUUUCUGGAGAAGGGAACAAUAAAAUGCACAGACUGUAAAAGUCCCAAGAUAGUGUAAAUCACUCCCUUAGCUGGGGAUAAAAUUAGCUAGGACUUGGAAGCCAUCUUUUGAUUUACACUCAUUAAAUAUCUGACCCAUACUUAUUACCAAAACACUGUGCGGUAAUCUGGAAAAAUAAGUGAGAGACAACAUUUGUCUGGCUGUCAAAACCAUGUUUCAUUAGAAAAGCUCUUUUACUCAAAUUCAGGUAGCUUUGCACAUUUCCACUAGCCCGUGGAUGACAUCUGAAAACUAAGUAUGAUGUGAAAGUUGAAAAAGUGUUCCUAAUAUAGAUUAGAUUUAUUGCAGAGGUGGAAAAUGAACAGUGCUGCCAGCUAAGAGAGGUAUUUGUUUGAUUCUGAUUUGUGUCAAGAUGCUACCUUGAACUUGCAGAUUCAGAAGAAACAACACUGAGUCUUGGAAAUACACAAUUUUGAUGAAUGCCAUCUACUGGAAUUGAGCCAGUUGUAUCUGCUUUCUUUGUUGUCAGCAUCUCAACACUCAGUGUGAACUCUAUCAUGGCAAACUGUUGGAAUGUUAUUUCUAGUCUGUAAAGAGUACUUCUAUGACAUUAUCAUGGAAAAUAACAGGUCUCAAAUGUGUACGGUGCACCAUUUUUCACCAAAGUACAAUUUUUUUAACAUUAGAAUGAGCGUGAACACCCCUCCAACAUUAUGAGUAUAAAAGACUGAAGAUAAAAUUGUCUCUGUAACUACUAGAAAAUUUCUCUCUGUAUGUGUAGAUACAAUUUACAAUGGGUGUUUUGAAAGAAGUGGGACAAAAUUUUCCAAUACAUAAUAAAAAUAAGUUUUGCAGUCAUUAAAUUAUCUGAAAAUUUAGUCAAGUAAAACAAAUAAUUGCAUGC